rnacentral:rRNA from 1 species
CAGUCGCCACGGUAAUACGAAGGGUGCAAGCGUUAAUCGGAAUUACUGGGCGUAAAGCGUGCGUAGGCGGUGAGUUAAGUCUGCUGUGAAAUCCCCGGGCUCAACCUGGGAAUAGCAGUGGAUACUGGCUCGCUAGAGUGUGUCAGAGGAUGGUGGAAUUCCCGGUGUAGCGGUGAAAUGCGUAGAGAUCGGGAGGAACAUCAGUGGCGAAGGCGGCCAUCUGGGACAACACUGACGCUGAGGCACGAAAGCGUGGGGAGCAAACAGGAUUAGAUACCCCAGUAGUCCCUGUCUCUUAUAC